rnacentral:tRNA from 1 species
GCCGCCUAGCUGCAAGAAUAGUCGAUAGCUACGAAGAGAUGCAAGGCUGUUUGACGAUCACGGUCCACUCGUAAUGAAUAGGUCGUCGGUUCGAUUCCGACAGGCGGCU